rnacentral:rRNA from 1 species
GACGAACGCUGGCGGCGUGCUUAACACAUGCAAGUCGAACGGAAAGGCCCUGCUUGCAGGGUACUCGAGUGGCGAACGGGUGAGUAACACGUGGGUGAUCUGCCCUGCACUUCGGGAUAAGACUGGGAAACUGGGUCUAAUACCGGAUAGGAGCCAUCUUUAGUGUGAUGGUUGGAAAGUUUUUUCGGUGUAGGAUGAGCUCGCGGCCUAUCAGCUUGUUGGUGGGGUAAUGGCCUACCAAGGCGGCGACGGGUAGCCGGCCUGAGAGGGUGGACGGCCACAUUGGGACUGAGAUACGGCCCAGACUCCUACGGGAGGCAGCAGUGGGGAAUAUUGCACAAUGGGCGCAAGCCUGAUGCAGCGACGCCGCGUGGGGGAUGACGGCCUUCGGGUUGGAAACUCCUUUCGCUAGGGACGAAGCUUUUUGUGACGGUACCUAGAUAAGAAGCACCGGCUAACUACGUG